rnacentral:rRNA from 1 species
CAGUCGCCGCGGUAAUACGAAGGGGGCUAGCGUUGCUCGGAAUGACUGGGCGUAAAGGGCGCGUAGGCGGAUGGCACAGUCAGAUGUGAAAUUCCCGGGCUUAACCUGGGGGCUGCAUUUGAUACGUGUUGUCUAGAGUGAGGAAGAGGGUCGUGGAAUUCCCAGUGUAGAGGUGAAAUUCGUAGAUAUUGGGAAGAACACCGGUGGCGAAGGCGGCGACCUGGUCCUUUACUGACGCUGAGGCGCGAAAGCGUGGGGAGCAAACAGGAUUAGAUACCCCUGUAGUCCCUGUCUCUAUACA